CCUGCUCCCCGUAACGCUUCACGCCCUCUGCAGCCCACCGCGCCGUCGCCGCCUCCCUCCCGCCGCUGGCCACUGCUCCACGGGAUGGCCUUCGAAGCCUUCUCUGCUCCCCGUGUGGCACCGGCCACGGCUACGCCCGUGGGGGAGGGCGCGUGGGUGCGGGAUGCCGCGUCGGGGAUGGCGGCACCCCUCUCUCUCGUUGCUUUCUCUCUCAGAUCCGGAUGGCGCAGGAUUCGGAGGCGAGAACGACCGGCAUGGGAGGGGAUCCAAUGGGACCGCCGGCGCGGGCAAAGACGCUUCCUGUCGGGGUGUCGCUUCCUAUCUCCUACCUCCCCCCUUCACCUCACCUCUCGCCCUCCGCAUCCCGCCGCCACCUGAUGCCAGGGCGCCGGUCGUUGCUCCACCCAUGAUGCAUGGCCCCGGCCACUGCUCCGCCCAACGCCGCUUGCGCCCUCCUCGCCCUCGCUGCUUGCACCCUCCUCUGUGCUGCUGUGCAGGGGGGAAGUGGUGGCCGCGCGGCGCCGCGAGGGAAGAGGACCUGGGAGCGGUGGCGGAGCGUCGCGAGGACCCGGGGACGGCAACAGCAAGCGGCGGCGCUUGGGCGCAUCGACCCGUGGCGGCAGCCCGGCCGCGUUGACCUGGCGCGGCGUCCCCGCUCCACCCGGCGUCGUGGUGUGGGCGCGCCACCGCUCCGCGGGCGAGGCGGUGGCCGUCAAGUGGAGACGCGCUACCCGCGGCGGCGGCGAGGACGCCCUCCGCGCGGCCUUUCGCCAGGCGCCGCGCGAAUUGACGGAAGCCCCGCCGCGCGCGGAGCGUCGCCCGGCCCACCUCGCAUUGGUGUUGGAUUGAUGGCGCAAGCGGAUUGACGCACAGCCCGCUUCGCAUCGACGCCGCGUGGAGGCUCGGCCAGCCCGCUUCGCAUCAAGCGUGAGCCGCCGCGCCGCCGACCCUGCAAAGCCGCUCUCCCCUUGUGGGGAGCCUGCUCCUUCACGCCAUGCGGAGACGCCAUCCUCCCAAUGCUCAGAGCAUCGGCAACCCGGCCGGCCGGUGCCGUGCGGAGCGUCCGCUGGCCCCUCGCGCUGAGGCAUCACCGCGGAGUCAACCAAUCAAUGCCGUCCUCCCGUUGUGCGGCUCUGGAGGGCGCCUGCUGCUAAUGCCUUUUCCAGGUUGUUCCACUCCACCCCACGGAAAUAAAAAAAUGCUUUGAUUUUGAAGCAUCUGGGACAAGGACUCAGUACAAAACUACAGGUCCCACCAGCGAGGAUGAGGAGGCGACGACCACCAACAAGGCAACAACUCUGCUAUCGGAUUUGAUUUUGUUUGCCUAGCGAGUUCAUGUGUUGUUCCAGUAGGUUCACAUCGAAUUGACGAAAACCUACAGUACUGCUUUCAAUUGUGAUCAAAUUUAUAUUGUUGCAUUCCUGAGUUUAGGGUUGUAUUGGAUUUUAGAGAAUAGGACAUGCUAUUUUGUGGAAUGGAUGCAAUGAAAUAGUAGCAAUUGAUUUCAGCCCACUCUAUUGUUCAGAGAAUAGGACUGGUUAGCUUUAGCAGGUAAAUUUUUAGUUGUAGGUAAUAAAGUUGUGAUUUUAUUCCCCGAAAAUGCAAUCAUCUUAUGAUCCCAUCAAGUUGUGAUUUUACUCUA